UUUCGAUUUGGAGUAGGUUUGUCAUUUGUUUUUCGAAUGUUGUGAACGAAGUAAGAAUUUGCAAUUAUUUUGAAAUCGAAAGUAGCAAUUUUAGUCAUACGUAGUGCUUCCGUUGUUUAAACUUUCAUUUAUAUCGUUAAUAUAUCAAAGAUAUAAAAUGUAAUGAAAACUGAAUUACGUCGCAUCGCGUCAGUCAGAAAGAAAGUGAUUAAGCAAAGUGAUAAUUCGGAAACGCCAGGAGAAAUGUCUAAAUAACUUAUUGUUGCUACUUAUUGGUGAUUUAAUCAGAAGAUGGCCGAUUACAUCAAAUAAUAUUAAUCGACGAAAUUUGAAUUGAGGAAUAAAAUCACACAAUUUUUGGAGGGAGAAUCUAAGGCGAACCGAAUGACAUUUUUUACUAUAUAAUUUCGAAGCGAGGCAAGAAAGCGUCGAUCGAUUUUCUCUGCAAAAAAACACGACUGCUAAAAUAAUAUUUCAAGAAGAAACUACUCUAAUCUGAGAAUAAAUCUAAAUCAACUGAAAUUUUUUUAGAAGAUCCAACAGAACUGGACAAUCUUUGGAAAUCCAUUUCAACCCGGAAAUGCUCAUCCAUUUAUUCGUCAAAGGAGCGUUAAACAAACUCGUCGAUUUAUUAAAACAUAAAGGUAUAUGACGAUAAAAAAUGUAAUUCUUGUUUGUUAUAAGCUACUAAAUAAUUUACCAUCGAUAAUUUACAGAACCUGCAGAAUAAAAAUUAUUUAUCACCAUAGGUAAAAGCCGACUCCGUAAUAAACUAUUCCAAAGAUAGGUGAACAAUUUGUUUUAAUAUUACAUUUUAUUGAUAAGAGCUUAAUUAAAGUUAUUAAAUUGAACAAUACUUUAAAUAGUAGAAUAUAAAUAAUUAUCAUAAUUAUAAAUAGUAGGAUAUAAAAUUAAUCUUUGAUUCGGAAACAACUUACAGAAUUAUCGUUUUGUUAGAUAUUACAAAAGAAGGAUACAACGAUUUACUCAAAUUUUUAUAUCUUUUUGAACAUUCGAAUACGGUGUUGAAAAAUACUUUACUCACAGAAUUUUGUAUUUUUUUUGAAUGAUAGGCGGAAAAUGUCAAAAUAAGUGCAAAAAUUUUGAAUGUGUGGGAUCAAUGGUUAGAAUAAAAUUUGUCGUUUUAAAUCCCCAAAAAUAUAUUUAAUAGAUAAAUGGCCAAUUUUUGGUUAAAUAUUAUAUUUAAGCUAUAGAAUACUUAAUUGUAUUAAAAAAUAUUUCUUUAUAUUCUUUCUAUUUUUGGAUUAUUUUAUAUUAGCCGAUAUUUAUGGGUAAAAUGAUGGUAAAUGUUCGAAACAGUUCGAUAUUUAAACAUUAAAUUAUAUGUGCUAAAAAAUAUGCAUAACAAUAUUCCACCAUAUGUUACAAGUAUGGCGUCAGAGAUCAAUAAUUUAAAAAAAAACUACUUCUAUCCUCGUUUACAGGUGUACAUUUUUCGUUUAAUAUUCAUUAUUAUAAGGAAUUUUCUUCUUUUAUGAUUAAGAAUUUCUUCCUUUAAAACUAAUCGAUGUUUUUGGUAAAA